AGAGCGAACGCUGGCGGCAGGCUUAACACAUGCAAGUCGAACGCACGUAGCAAUACGUGAGUGGCAGACGGGUGAGGAACGCGUGGGAAUAUGCCCUUUGGUUCGGAAUAACUCAGGGAAACUUGAGCUAAUACCGGAUAUCUCCGAGAGGAGAAAGAUUCAUCGCCAAAGGAUUAGCCCGCGUCUGAUUAGCUAGUUGGUGAGGUAACGGCUCACCAAGGCGACGAUCAGUAGCUGGUCUGAGAGGAUGAUCAGCCACACUGGGACUGAGACACGGCCCAGACUCCUACGGGAGGCAGCGAGGUGGGGAAUAGUUGGACAAGUGGGACCGAAAGGCCUGAUCCAGCCAUCGCCGCGUGAGUGAGUGAAGGUCCGUUAGGGUGUAAAGCUUCUUUUGUCCGGAAGAUAAGUGACUGUACGGAAGAAUAACGCCCGGACUAACUUCGU
rnacentral:rRNA from 1 species